GCUCGUGGGUGGCUUCCUAGGGCGAUGAAGCGCCGGGAGGAGAUGGAGCGCGGGCUGCUGUGGAAGCUACCGCUGGUGAAGUCGUCCGAGUGGGGUAAGCUCGGCCCAGCUUUCGGCGCUGGUGUGGGCUGCGGUGUCGGUGUCGGCGCUGGCAUUAUCGGAGGUGCCGGCUUGGGAUUUGGUUUCCCGGGAUUUCAAUUCGGAGUGGGCUUAGGUGCCGGAUGCGGCAUUGGUGUCGGUUUUGGAUACGGGCUUGGCAAGGGACGUGCGUACGAUGAGAAUGGAAGCUACAGCAACAUGGGUAGAUAUUCAGCAAAAAGAGCUGCUUCUAGCGGUGCCGAGAUCCGUGCUAUAGUUGACGACUUUGUGUCUGGGAUGCGGCGAGCUUUGGCGAGCUGGGAGAGUGAGCUGCAAAAGAGGCGGAGGUCGUGAUCGUGCGUCGCUCGUUCGUUCCUCGUUAUUCUUUCGUGGGCCUUCACUCACUCACGCAGCGCGUGCUCGCUCCCUCCGCGUCUUGUGAGACUUCAGGCAAGUUCCGUGUAGAGCCCGAGCAACAAAAUGAAGACCAUCGUUUUCGCUUUCCUGCAAGGAAAACUCCUACGGCUUCCGGACAAAACUUUCUCUUGCUCAGCAAUUCAGAAUGUCUUCACUGUAGUUUCGACAGAAAUCACAGGUUGCAAAAGCUAUUGACGUGACGCAUACGUUCGGGAGUGUGUCAUCUUCAGACAAAA